rnacentral:misc_RNA from 1 species
AAGACUAUAGACCUGCGGAGUACCUGCGGAAGGAUCAUUACAUGGCGGAGGAGGUGGGCACCUAGUAACCCUGGGUGUGUUGCCUUCACGCUUUCUACCCUUGUCUAUUUGCACCUUUUGUCGUUCCCUCGGUGGGUCUUGAACCUGCCGACGGCAACUUUCCAAAAUCCUCUUGCAGUAGUAUCGAAUUCUUCUGAUGUAAAUAUCAAAUUUAUUACAACUUUUAGCAAUGGAUCUCUA